GCGCGGUGGAGCUUUAGGUGACGUGUGGAGACAGAAAAAAAAAAACUGUCAAGGAACUCAGACCAUUGAGUACAUGUCACUUGAAUGAACCUGAAGAAUCUGGUUUAUUGGGUCAGCUGACAGCAGAAAAUGAAAAGUAGUGUGGCACACAUGAAAUCCUCUGGCCACGACAGAAGGGAGAGCCACAGUUCAUACCACCGGAGUUCCUCCCCAGAAGACAGAUAUACAGAACAAGAACGGUCCCCCCGGGAUAGAGACUACUCUGAUUACAGCCGGUCAGACUAUGAGCGAUCUAGAAGAGGAUACUCUUACGAUGACAGCAUGGAGUCACGAAGUAGGGAUCGAGAAAAACGCCGAGAAAGAGACAGAGAUGCAGAGCAUCGUAAACGGUCCCGGAAAUCCCCAUCUCCUGAAAGAAGGAGCCCAGACCGAGGAGUUACCCAGAGUUCUACGCAUGAAGAACCUACAUCGAAGAAGAAGAAGGAUGAGCUGGAUCCGUUGCUCACCCGCACUGGGGGAGCAUAUAUUCCUCCUGCAAAGCUCAGGAUGAUGCAGGAACAGAUUACAGAUAAAAACAGCUUAGCAUACCAGAGGAUGAGCUGGGAGGCUCUGAAGAAAUCCAUCAAUGGUCUCAUCAACAAGGUCAACAUCUCCAACAUCAGUAUUAUCAUCCAAGAGCUCCUUCAAGAGAACAUUGUCAGAGGGAGAGGAUUGCUGUCCAGAUCUGUCCUGCAAGCACAGAGUGCAUCUCCGAUCUUCACUCAUGUUUAUGCAGCUUUGGUGGCAAUAAUCAACUCAAAAUUCCCACAGAUUGGAGAAUUGAUCCUCAAGAGACUAAUUCUUAAUUUUCGGAAAGGCUAUCGAAGGAAUGAUAAGCAACUUUGCCUGACUGCUUCAAAAUUUGUGGCACAUCUUAUUAACCAAAAUGUGGCACAUGAGGUUCUGUGCCUGGAGAUGCUCACUUUGCUGCUAGAGAGACCCACAGAUGACAGUGUUGAAGUAGCUAUUGGCUUCCUCAAGGAGUGUGGUCUCAAAUUAACCCAGGUGUCGCCAAGGGGAAUCAAUGCAAUCUUUGAACGCCUGCGAAACAUUCUACAUGAGUCUGAGAUCGACAAGAGAGUUCAGUACAUGAUUGAAGUGAUGUUUGCUGUACGGAAGGAUGGAUUCAAGGACCACCCUGUUAUUCUGGAAGGACUGGAUUUGGUGGAAGAGGACGAUCAGUUUACACAUAUGCUCCCCUUGGAGGAUGACUACAAUCCAGAAGAUGUUCUUAAUGUUUUCAAGAUGGAUCCUAAUUUCAUGGAGAAUGAGGAGAAGUACAAGGCUAUUAAAAAAGAAAUCCUUGAUGAAGGAGACAGUGAUUCAAACACAGACCAAGAAGCUGGAAGUAGUGAAGAUGAGGAGGAAGAAGAGGAGGAAGAAGAAGGAGAAGAAGAUGGAGGACAAAAAGUAACUAUUCAUGACAAAACAGAAAUCAACCUAGUCUCCUUUCGCCGUACAAUAUAUCUUGCCAUUCAGUCAAGUUUAGAUUUUGAAGAAUGUGCACACAAGUUGCUGAAAAUGGAGUUUGCUGAGAGCCAAACAAAAGAACUCUGCAACAUGAUACUUGAUUGUUGUGCCCAACAAAGGACCUAUGAAAAAUUUUUUGGCUUGUUAGCUGGGCGAUUUUGUAUGCUGAAAAAAGAAUACAUGGAAUCAUUUGAAAGUAUAUUCAAGGAACAGUAUGAUACCAUUCAUCGCUUAGAGACAAACAAACUGAGAAAUGUUGCUAAGAUGUUUGCUCACCUUUUAUACACAGAUUCACUUCCAUGGAGUGUUCUCGAAUGUAUAAAGCUGAGUGAAGAGACCACGACAUCAUCUAGUAGGAUUUUUGUCAAGAUCUUCUUCCAGGAAUUGUGUGAAUACAUGGGUCUUCCUAAACUGAAUGCGAGGUUAAAGGAUGAAACUCUUCAGCCAUUCUUUGAAGGACUGUUACCCCGAGACAACCCUCGCAAUACCCGGUUUGCCAUCAACUUCUUCACUUCCAUAGGUCUUGGAGGAUUGACGGAUGAACUUCGAGAACAUCUGAAAAAUACACCUAAGGUCAUCGUAGCCCAGAAGCCAGAAGCUGAGCAAAAGAAACCAGCCCUGACAUCCUCAUCUUCAGAGUCUUCCUCGGCGUCUGAUUCCUCUGACUCGGAUUCUGAUAGCAGUGAGAGCAGCUCAGAGUCCUCCAGUGAAGCGAGCGACUCCUCUUCCUCCAGCAGUCAGAGCUCUGCCUCAGCUAAAGGUACAAGAAAGAAGAGACAAGGGAAGCUCAGAGGCGAAGAAGUAGAUAAGUUAGCCAGGGGCCACCAGGCACGAGACAGGAGGCGAGAAGGAGGCAGAGAGGACCAAAGGCACCAGGAAGGGAGGACUGAGAGAGCAAGGCCUGAAAGACACCGAGCUCAGAACUCACGAGAUGCAGACUGGCGAGAUUCCCUAGCAAAGCACAUGGAGGACAGAAGCCGUGAGAAUAGUUACAGCAGAGUUGGCAAUGGCCGAGAACAAGGCUCCCACAGAGAGCCAGAAGACAGGCAUGGUGAGCCAAAGAAGAAGCGGCGAGAGAGAAGAGGUUCUUUUUCUGAAAAUGAGAAGCAAAGAACCCGAAAUCAGGACAGUGACAAUGUUAGAAGAAAAGACCGCUCCAAGUCGAGAGAGAGGGGUAGAAAGCACUGUGGUCAUGACGGAGCUGAUGGCAGCUGUCAGAACGGUGCCGAGGGACGCUGGGACAAGCCUAGCCGAUACCCUGAACAUUCUAGAGAAUCAAAGAGAAGUCAGGACCGGAGGAGAGAAAAGUCUCCAACAAAACAAAAAUAAUUCUAAUGACAACUGAAGCUGCCUUAUAUACAAUCCAAUGUCUUUUUACAUCAAUGGAUUUUAUAGAGAACUCUUAUAUAAAGGACCUGUUUGUAAAUUUUAAAGAUGUUUUCUUUUUGACAUGUUUUAUAAUUGAUAAUAUCUCAAGGUCCUUUGUGUAAAAUCAUAAAGAAAAGGGAUUCAACAAAGGGCUGUGGCUGAAGCCUCUUCUCGACAGACGCUUUGAUCACUGCCCACCCAGCUCACUUGGCCUCACACCACCAUUCUCUGACUUCUCAGCUCUUCAGAAUUGUCAUCUGUUGACUUGUUGGUACCUUGUCAC